GAGGGUAUAGCUCAGUGGUAGAGUGUGUACUUAGGAUGCACAGGGUUCUGGGUUCAAUCCCCAGUACCUCCA
rnacentral:tRNA from 1 species